rnacentral:pre_miRNA from 1 species
AGUGGAAUAGCUGGGUCAAAUGGUUGUUUCCUUUCUAAGUUUUCUAAGGAAUCUUCAUACUGCUUUUCAGAUUGGUUGCACCAAUUUGCAGUCCCACCAGCAAU